rnacentral:rRNA from 1 species
GGUAAAGUUAUUAAGGGCGUACGGGGAAUGCCUAGGCACAUGGAGCCGAUGAAGGACGUGGUAAGCUGCGAUAAGCCUCGGGGAGCUGCAAACAAGCUUUGAUCCGGGGAUGUCCGAAUGGGGAAACCCGCCUGGAGUAAUGUCCAGUGCAGCCCGCAGAUGAAUACAUAGUCCGCGGGUGGCCAACGGGGGGAACUGAAACAUCUAAGUACCCCUAGGAAGAGAAAGAAAUCUCGAUUCCCUGAGUAGCGGCGAGCGAAAGGGGAAGAGCCCAAACCGGAAGCGUGUGAUAGCCCGCGCGCGUUGCGCAUCCGGGGUUGUGGGAUUGGACCGGACCCCCGUGCGGGGGGGUCGGGGAGUCAGAAAUUCCGAGUCUAGCCAAACGGUCCUGGAAAGGCCGGCCAUAGUGGGUGACAGCCCCGUAGGCGAAAGACUCCGGAACUCCCUGGGUUCAACACCCGAGUACCGCGGGACACGUGAAAUCCUGUGGGAACCUGCGGGGACCACCCCGCAAGGCUAAAUACUCUCUGACGACCGAUAGUGAACCAGUACCGUGAGGGAAAGGUGAAAAGCACCCCUGGCGGGGAGUGAAAUAGUACCUGAAACCGUUUGCCUACAAGCUGUGGAAGGUGACCCGGACUCCUUCGGGAGACCGUCGAACUGACCGCGUGCCUUUUGCAUAAUGAUCCAGUGAGUUACUCGGAUGUGGCGAGGUUAAGUGGCGUUACCACGGAGCCGUAGCGAAAGCGAGUCUGAAUAGGGCGACCAGUCGCAUCCGGUAGACGCGAAGCCAGGUGAUCUACCCAUGGCCAGGAUAAAGCGCAUGUAAUAGUGCGUGGAGGUCCGAACCCACUAGCGUUGAAAAGCUAGGGGAUGAGCUGUGGGUAGGGGUGAAAGGCCAAUCAAACCUGGAGAUAGCUCGUUCUCCCCGAAAUAUUUUUAGGAAUAGCCUUGCGUGUUCCUUGUCGGUGGUAGAGCACUGACUGGGCUAGGGGCCCCACCAGGUUACCGAACCCAUUCAAACUCCGAAUGCCGAUAAGCCAGAACGCAGGAGUCAGGCUGUGGGGGCUAAGCUCCAUAGCCGAGAGGGAAACAACCCAGAUCGCCAGCUAAGGUCCCCAAGUCGGGACUAAGUGAGGAAGGAUGUGGGACUGCAUUGACAACUGGGAUGUUGGCUUAGAAGCAGCCACCAUUUAAAGAAAGCGUAACAGCUCACCAGUCAAGUGAUCUUGCGCCGAUAAUUCUUGGGACUCAAGUCCUGCACCGAAGCUGCGGGAUUCCUCUUCGGAGGGAUCGGUAGGGGAGCAUUCCCUGGCGUCGAAUGUGCGUCGUGAGGCGCGCUGGAGCUAUGGGAAGAGAAGAUGCUGGAACGAGUAGCGAUAAAGCAGGUGAAAACCCUGCUCACCGAAAACCCGAGGUUUCCUGAGCAAGGUCAAUCCGCUCAGGGUUAGUCGGCUCCUAAGUCGAGGCCGAAAGGCGUAGACGAUGGGAAACAGGUCAAUAUUCCUGUACCGCCGGCGUAGCGUCUGACCGAUGGGGUGACGCAGAAGGGAAUGUCAGCCUCCGACUGGAAGUGGAGGUCCAAGCCUGUAGGGAGGUUCCGUAGGCAAAUCCGCGGAAUCAAUUCUGAGAGGCGACGGGGAGGCCCUUAGGGCCACAAACUGACGGGUACCAUACUGCCAAGAAAAACCUCUAAGGGAGCUGCGCAGGCGACCGUACCGUAAACCGACACAGGUAGGUGAGGAGAGAAUCCUAAGGUGCUCGAGAUAACCGUGGUUAAGGAACUAGGCAAAAUGACCCCGUAACUUCGGGAUAAGGGGUGCCCUGUUAGAGUGAAGCUCCUCGCGAGUGGAGCUCGAAGGGGCUGCAGUGAAAUGACCUGAGCGACUGUUUACCAAAAACACAGGUCUCUGCUAAGUCGCUGAGACGACGUAUAGGGACUGACACCUGCCCGGUGCCGGAAGGUUAAAUGGCGAAGUUAGCGUAAGCGAAGCUUCAAAAUGAAGCCCCGGUAAACGGCGGCCGUAACUAUAACGGUCCUAAGGUAGCGAAAUUCCUUGUCGGGUAAGUUCCGACCUGCACGAAUGGUGUAACGACUCGGGUACUGUCUCAACCACGGACUCGGCGAAACUGCAGUCACGGUGAAGAUACCGUGUACCCGCGGCAGGACAGAAAGACCCCGUGCACCUUUACUGCAGCCUGAUAUUGGAACUUGGCUUUGCUCGUGUAGGAUAGGUGGGAGGCUUUGAAGUGGGGGCGCCAGCUCUCAUGGAGCCAACCUUGAAAUACCACCCUCGUAAUGUCGAGUUUCUAACCGCGUGCCUUGAAGCAGGCCGCGGGACAGUGUCAGGUGGGCGGUUUGACUGGGGCGGUCGCCUCCUAAAUCGUAACGGAGGCGCACAAAGGUUCCCUCAGCGCGUUUGGCAAUCGCGCGUAGAGUGUAAAGGCACAAGGGAGCUUGACUGCGAGACUCACAAGUCGAGCAGGUGCGAAAGCAGGUCUUAGUGAUCCGGCGGUUCCGAGUGGAAGGGCCGUCGCUUAACGGAUAAAAGGUACGCCGGGGAUAACAGGCUUAUCUCCCCCGAGAGUUCAUAUCGACGGGGAGGGUUGGCACCUCGAUGUCGGCUCAUCGCAUCCUGGGGCUGAAGCAGGUCCCAAGGGUUUGGCUGUUCGCCAAUUAAAGCGGUACGCGAGCUGGGUUCAGAACGUCGUGAGACAGUUCGGUCCUUAUCCGCCGUGGGCGUUAGGAAGUUUGAGAGGAUCUGUCCCUAGUACGAGAGGACCGGGAUGGACGAACCUCUAGUGUACCAGUUGUGUCGCCAGAUGCAUCGCUGGGUAGCUAUGUUCGGCAGGGAUAACCGCUGAAAGCAUCUAAGCGGGAAGCCCACCUCAAGAUGAGACUUCCCUCCACGAAAGUGGCUGAAGGGUCCUUGGAGAUUACAAGGUCGAUAGGCGGGAGGUGUAAGCGCAGCAAUGCGUUCAGCCGACCCGUACUAAUUACCCGUGAGGCUUGAUCUU